rnacentral:tRNA from 1 species
GGUAGUGUGGCCGAGCGGUCUAAGGCGUUUGUUUUAGGCACCAGUCUCUCCGGAGGCGUGGGUUCAAAUCCCACCGCUGCCA